rnacentral:lncRNA from 1 species
CAAUCCAGGGUCCAGACCAGGACGCAGAGUUGUGGUCUUACACACCUCUCUGCUGCUUCCUUAGAACCCUCAUCCACCAACAAUAACAUAUUUAACACUAUAGAGGUAGUCUCUGUUCCACGGUUAAAAGUUCACCAAGCACAGAGCAGGGGAGCGGUCAAUCACCAAAAUCUUAUUAAAAUUAAUACUGAAGCACAAGUUGGAGAAACUAAUAUCACAAUUAAGUGUGGACUGUUAAAUAUUAGAUCUCUUUUGUGUAAAUCCCUGUUAGUGCACGACCUGAUAGCGGAUCAUCACAUUGAUUUAUUCUGUCUCACUGAGACCUGGCUUCAGGAGGAGUAUGUGAGCUUAAAUGAAUCUACUCCUCCUACCCAUCUUAAUUAUCAUAUUCCACGGGUUACUGGUCGAGGAGGGGGAGUGGCAGCAAUCUAUCACUCCAAGUUAUUAAUUAAUCCCAGACCAAAACAUAGCUUCAGUUCAUUUGAAAGCCUGACUCUUGGCAUCACUCAUCUGAACUGGAGGACAGAAAAGCCACUUCUGUUUGCAGUUGUAUAUCGGCCCCCUGCUGGGCCACAUUCAGAGUUCCUGUCUGAGUUCUCUGACUUCUUAUCUGACUUGGUCCUUAGAACGGAAAAAGUCAUUAUCAUUGGAGACUUUAACAUCCAUAUGGACGUUAUAAACGACAGCUUUAGAAAUGGCUUCAUUUCAUUACUUGAGUCAGUUGGUUUCCUCCAGCAGAUAAACCAACCAACUCAUAACUUCAACCACACCUUAGAUCUUGUUCUGACUUAUGGUGUUGAGGUAGAACAUGUGUCAGUGUUCCCUCAGAACCCAGUCCUGUCAGACCACUCUUUGAUCACUUUUACAUUUAUGAUUAAGGAUUCUUCUAUGCUCAGAACAAAGUCUUACUAUAGCAGAUGUCUUUCAGAUAAUGCUGUAGCUAAGUUUAAGGAAGUGAUCCCUGUGCUGAUCCCAGGACCACCGUGUGUUUCCCCAGGGAUCAAUCAUUAUAAUCUUAGCCCUGCUGAGGUUGACUCUAUUGCUGAAGGUGCAGCAACCUCACUGAGAAUCACGCUUGAUUCUGUUGCCCCCCUGAAAAAGAAAAUAGUAAAUCAGAGGAGGUGUGCCCCCUGGUAUAAUUCACAUAUCAGGACCCUCAAGCAGAAAGUGUGA